rnacentral:rRNA from 1 species
UACGUAGGGUGCGAGCGUUGUCCGGAAUUAUUGGGCGUAAAGGGCUCGUAGGCGGUUUGUCGCGUCGGGAGUGAAAUCCACUGGCUUAACUGGUGGCUUGCUUUCGAUACGGGCAGACUGGAGGUAUGCAGGGGAGAACGGAAUUCCUGGUGUAGCGGUGAAAUGCGCAGAUAUCAGGAGGAACACCGGUGGCGAAGGCGGUUCUCCUGGGCAUGUCCUGACGCUGAGGAGCGAAGUGUGGGAGGCGAACAGGA